UCGCCUAUGCCCAGUUUUACAAAAAAUAUCAGUGGCAAGAUAAUUUGUAGGCCUAAAAUUACUUAUGAUACAAGAACUACUUAAUGCAGAAGGAAAGGGCAGUGGGUGUUGUUCAUGCAGUCAGCAUAGGAUCACGGAGUGUCUAGAGCCUCCAGGAGCAGGAGCUGAUCAAGUGGCCGGGGAUUAAUAUUAAAUAGGGGGCCACCCUUGUUGCCACCCUAGAAUAACGCUGUCCGAUCGAUCCGCUGACAUUGUCACCACCACCCCCCUCGCCCCUGGUCGUAAGUAUUUUCGUUAACACCCCGCUGAUUAGCGGUUCACUGGCUACAUCGUUUUUAAUCCUUUCUCGUUUUUCUUUCGGCUAUGCGGCCAAAAAAAAAAAAUCCACCUCAAUCAAAAUUUUGUGCUAUUUUUGAUUUUAUUUAACACCUCCAAACAAAAAGGAAUCAUGGUUCUCAGCAGAUGUGGAUCCUAGUUCCAAGUCUUUUUAACCGAUGGGGUAUAGUAGGUACACAAAAGGAGGGAAAUAAAAAAGGAUUCGAAAGAGUGCUUUAUUUAUGUUAUGUUUGUGAAGUAUUUCUAUCACGUUUAUGACAAUUUAUGAUUUGUCUUUUGUUCUCAUGAACGUUAAGUAAAUACUUUAAAAUAUUUUGGUUUGGUUUUUAUUACAGUGAAAUGAUUCUUUUUCUAAGUUUCUAAUUAUUUAACGAUGUUUGUAGCCGGUGUUUUAUAUGAGGUGCAUUCUGUAGCUUGAAAGAUCGUACGAGAUAAAACGCAUUCCAGAUAUUCACAUUUUGGUUUUAUAUGUCUCAUUACAGUCGACAGUAGCCGGAAACCGCGACGUGCCUCAUCAAAGGCUGAUCGCCUUACAUGCAUUCUUCCUCCAUUAAGUCUUCCUCAGACAGAUCAAUCACUGUAAAAGUUUCCAGGCUGACGGCUUAUAACCAACAAGGGGAAAGACCGAAAUAGGCGUUAAAGACAUGGUACGUGUGAAAAGAAAGUAGCCGGUAUUGUGCGCUGAAAUGAUACAGAUAACAUAUACAUGUGAUGAAUCUGAAGUUGAUCACAGAACGCGAAGACUUCAAGACGCGUGUCAGGGAACAAGACUAGUGCAGAGCAUGGUGAACUGGGGCAGUAAGACUCUCUGGGUCAUGGCCGGGAUGCUGUCCUUUGUGCUCAUUACGUUCACGAUAACGUUCUCAAUACAGCUAGGAAAUCAAUCAAACAACCACGCCAAGAGUCCUCCCGCGAUCAAGGAUAUCAACGAGACCUCAUUAAGCAGCUUGUUUCAAACGUUGUCAUCCAAAGCUUGCGUGUUCCUUGCUGGUAAGAGGAAACCCAUUUGGAAAUAGGACUUUCUGACUCUGCUAACCUUCUAUGUUAUUUUCUGUUUUGCUUUGUGGUAUUUUACCUGCAAUCAGACAAACAUGAAAACAACAUUUUAUUUUAAUGUUGCUGAACUGAAAAAUGCCCUGGGUUUUUUUUUUUGUUCCCCCUAAGAUUUUCCUCUGCAGUUUUUGGUCCUUCACAUCUUUCCCUGGAAGCCUUGGAAUUAUCUGUAAAUGUAAAGUAAUCAUAGGUCAACCAUCACAUGUUAUGAAAGACUUUGUAUGGGUUGAAACAUACUACUGAUGAACAACGGCACCAUUAACUAGGGUUGGUGUCCGGCUCAGUGGUUUAUGGUGCAGUGUCUGAGUGAAAAGUCAGUGGUUUAAAUUCCGGGGUAGGUAAAGUUAUUUCAUUGUUAGCCCCUCGAAGAAGGCCUUUUGCCCCGGACACUUUGACCUUGCUUUCUGAAGAACAAAUGUUGCUCUGGAUAAAAGUGUCUACUAAAUAGAUAAAAUGUCAAUGAUUUGCUUCCAACUAGUUCCAUGCUUUUAUAUUUGUGAUUCGUUGCCCUGUUGUAGCACUUGCCACCGGGGAGAGUGGAAGUGGAGUGCUACAGUGGGAGAAGAGGCACCACUAUAUGAGAAACGUCUCCUUGAGUCAGAACGGCACGGACGUCAUCGCCGAGACAGCCGGCUUCUACCUGCUGUUUGUGCAGGUGACCUACAAAAUCAACUGCCACAGAGCCACAAACUGUCUUGACCUCAUGCUGACUGUCAACCAUUUUUACAAAGAGGGUGAACAGUGCUACUCUGCGGUCUACAAGACACACUGUGGGACUUGUGAGGGCUGUCACCAGAAAGGUCACCCGGAGAGGAGCGUAGACGUAGUCCUCAGUAAGCCUACCUUGCUCUGGAUGCAGUCACAGGACAAACUGACAGUCACAGUCAGCGACAGAGAGUCUGUGGAUUUUGAGUACCGCCCAACCCCGACAUUCCUCAUGCUCGUUAAGUACUCAGAUUAGCCAAUCCUGUGCCGGAAAAGGAGAUGGGAAUGAAAUUUCUGUUUGAAGUUUCAUUGUCAUAUUUUGCAUCUCAUCCAAUGAAAACCAGUUUUUUUUGCAAGGAGAACAUGAACAAACAUUAACACACAACAUACAGUAACAAACACCCCCCAGAAUGCCUAACACCCCCUCACGCACCCAUAGGGUACCAACAAACCGUCAGCAUACAACAUAACAGGGAUGGUCUUGGCAAUUAAUUGUAAUUUCGACUGAGACAACUGCGGGGGGGGGGGGGGGGGCAGUCAGGCAUUCUGGGGGGUGUUUGUUAUGUUGUGUGCAGUGUGCCCCCCCCAAGCUCCACCCAUGAGGCUGUGGUGCCAGGUACCCAGGAAAUUAAGCUUGUGAGUAAUUAGAUUAACAGCAAGAAUAAAAAAUUGGACACUGGCCCACUAGCUAAUAAAAAAGUCCCAACUUGCUCUCCUAGACAGACAUGUAGGGGAAGACGAGCUUGGUGGCAAAGUCAGCCACCCAUAGCAGUGCCCAUGAAGCUGGGGGUUAAAGGCCUUGCUCGAGGGCCCACAGACGUGACAAUUCUGCCGAGACUGGGUUCAAACUGGCGACCUUCCAGUCAGAGGCACAGAGGCUUAGUAGCAGAAAUUCUUAAAUUCAACCCCUGGAUGUCCCACUCUUCCCUUAAUCCUUUAAUCCCUUAAUAUGUUAAAUGUUCUUGGAUCCUUCAGCAGGGAGCACUAUGUUAAUCAGAGUAACUUACUGUGGGCUUUGAAGUGAGCUCCUUGCACAAGGAUCGCAGACAAUACUUAGGUAGCCUUAUUCAGUAUUCCCACAUCAUCUAGAACUUCUGAGAAAACCUCAAUUAUGGAUUUUUUCAGGAAGGUUAACUUGCAACCAUUUAAGCCCUGCACAAAAGCUGCCCCUGACACAUGCAUGUCAAACAGCUUAAACAGGAGUCCAGUCCAUCUGUAGCACUGCUGGUGGACCUGUGGUUAGGGUUAGGGAUAGGGUUAGGGUUAGGGUUAGGGAUAGGCGUCCCAGCCCCCCUUCUGAAAACCCGCUGACAUGCACAUAGAAUUCUGUCCUGUGUAUCACACUGGUCUGGUCACUUCUGGCAGCAUGAAUCAGCUUUCAGCCAACAUUCAUAGGCUGUCAUCUGAGAGUUUGUGCAUUUCUGCUGCUGCCACUUCAAAAUGAAUUUGGUUGCCGUAUCAUUGGAAAGGCCCGGGUGUGUUUGAGCCACGAAUGUAAGCAGAGUUCCAUGACUGCCGGAGCACUGUGGUUGAGGAGCAGACACAUUGCCGAGGUCAGCGUCACUGCUUGUUUUUCCACACAAGCUUGACGAAAUUCAUGGAUAUGGAAUCACAAUGAAUGACGAUAAUUUAAAAAUGAAAAGCUGACACUGAACAACCUUUGUUAAACAAUUCAAAGCUUGAUACCAGAGAAGUUCAGUUCAAUUUAAUUUAUUUUAAUUUAAGAGUUUAUGGCAAUAUAUUAUUAGUUUAUGGAUGCUUUACAAUUGUGCGUGAUACAGAGAAAAGGUAAAAAGGCAAAGACAAUGGAGGAGAGGAACCAAAAACUCUAUAUUAAGAUGAAAAAAUACCUCUGGGGGCCCAAGGAUAACAAAGAAAAUGAUUUUGCUUUUAUAAACGUAACGUGUAGAGACCAUAGUCAAUAUCGAAGCUCAUCAGGUCAUACAGGUCUGCAUUAGUUGCUGCACUUUCAGAAAAAAGGGUACCAAUUUGUACCUUUGCUUGUCACUUGAGCUGUACUCUCAAGGAUCUGCUAAUUGUACCCGAUAGCUGUAGGUAAAUGUACCUACAGACCAUGAGGCCACGUACAGCAACUACAGCAGCCAUAAGUCUGACCUGUAGGGUGAUAUGAAUCAGCACUGUACCUGCAGACAAACCUUAGCCCAUUUCCUAACCUGUAGCACUUAAUAAUGGUGAAACGUUGCUGUGACAUGUAUCUUAACAAAGUACUGGCUGUGUAUUUUUCAUUUCUAAUUUAAAAAUGUUCCCCAUUUUGCUUAUUGGUUUUUAUUGCUUGUUUGUGAAGAGUGUUUACAUAAAUACAAUAAAUACUGUCAACAUUUAAA